UCCAUACAUCAUAUUUACAAUCAUAAGGAUAUUUCCAUAAAACAUAUGGAGUACAAUAUCACACCUAUAUAAAGUAACAUCUGUAAAAAUUGAAGAAGUCGAAUUACGGUCUUAAUCUAUUGGAUGACAGCUGUGUCAGAGACUCAGAUUAAAGAAGAGCACAGAUAUAAAUUAGAAAGUUAGAUGUACCUGACAUCAUCCAAGAUUGAGCAGGGCAUGUUUUCUUGCACCAAUAGAAUCUUAUGCAGUGAUUUUGCCAGAUCUCACAAACUAUGCAGAGUUCGAUUGGCAGAGUACCUGGAUGAAAGACUUCAAAGAAAAGCAGAUGCUGCAAGCAGAGGUGUUAGUGUUCCAGUAGGCGGCCAUGGACCUUUUUUCUAAUUCUUUACUGAGCCAGUGUGCCAGCAUGGUGUUGGAGGCAACUGUGCUGGAGGAGCUCUCUUUCAGAUGACACAUAAUAGUAAUACCUUCACUAGUAAUCAUUUAAAAUUCUCUGGCAUUUUUCUCAAGUGCAGGGCUGUGGCUGUGAGGCAGCAUGGACCUUGCCAAUUCAGAGCCUUGAACAACUAACUACCUUCACUAGAUUCCCUAGAACAGCUUGUUUAAUAAUUUGCUCAUCUCUGAAUACCUUUGUGUUGGAUAGUUAAUAGAUCUGAAUACUACCUAUGGUGGAAAGUGCUUUACAGUAAUUGGACUUAAAGAGGAAGCUGUUAUUGGUUGUUUUACUAUUAAAAACAGGUGGGAGAACUUAGUGCCUAUGAAAGUGACAGUCUAAUACUUUGGCUUGAAGUAUUAAUUUCCUCAGAGAGCUCAGACAAUGCACAUGCAGUAAUACUUCGGGAGCUCUCCUGAGAAACUGUCUGUGGUGGAGCUGUUUUAAAAGAUGUACGCAAUUGGAAAAAGCCAUCACCAAAUUCAUUUUCACCAGUGACCAAAGACGGGAUUUGAACAUGGAACUCCAGAAAGCCAGCAUACUGAGGGUUUUCCAUUGACUUCAGUUGAACUGAGAUUUGGUCCUUACUGAGUGCAGCACGUAGCCCAGAGGGAAAGAAGCUCAGGAGAUCAUGUAGGCCAACCCCCUGCUCAAAGCAGGACCAAUCCCCAACUAUUUUUUUUUGCCCUGGAUGGUCUCCUUAAGGAUUUAAUUCACAACCCUGGCUUUAGCAGGCCAAUGCUCAAACCACUGAGCUAUUAUACUGUGCUGCAUAAAAACUCCAGGUGCUCUAUCUAUUAUACAAAUUGACUCAGUUAUGACUCCCCCCUUCUCUCCUCCACCAUUCUUCUGUCCUCCUUCUCUACAUGCUCAUUUUGUCCUUUUCCUAGCUCCUCUCCCUUCUCUCUGCCCUGUCUUUAUCACACCUGCCACUGCAAAGUGUCCUCAACCCCAUCUUCUUAAGGUGUUCCAAUGGUGUGGAAGAACAGCACGUUUAACUCCUCUGCCAACUCCUGCAGCUGAGGCUUCUCUGCUCGGGGUUCUAUUGACUGUUCUCCCAGUUGUCCAGCUCAUUCUGCCUGGCUCUGUCCAAGAAUAAAUAGCCAGUGCUCUUGUCCUACUGCUCCAUCUGUAAGUGCACAAACAAAAUGUAAUACUUGCAGACUAAAAAUGCCUCAGCAAUGUUAAGCAUUGUGGGGAGGCAAAGGGUCACAAGCUUGUGAAAAGUAAUGUGACUGCAGGAAUGAACGUAGGGACACCUGAAACAACAAUGCUUUGCACUAACAAUGUGUCUUCCAUCCAAGAAGCUCAAAGCACUUUACAGACAUUAAUGAGUUGAACCUCACAACCCUCCUGUGAGUUAAGAUAAUAUUACCCUCACAUUACUAAUGUGGAGACUAGGGCAUUGUUAGGUGACUUGCACAUAGUCACACAGGAAGGCCACAACAAAGCUUGCAAUAGAAUCCAUAUCUCGUUUAAUAAGGUUAUCUGUUGGGAUAGCAGACAGAACUAAACCAAAAUAAUCCAGCAGAAUCCUUCCCACCACAAGUGGCAUGGAAGUACUCAAAGUUUUAAGUAUGCUGCAAUGGGGGUUGGGAAAAGCAUUUGCCUCCCUCAAAGAUUACUAUGUGUGUCGUCCACUUCAUUGGCUGUGCAGUGACACUGCUUGUUUUGAGUGAUGCAGAAGCUGAUUUCCUGCCCUAGCCUCCUCUGCUUUUAGGACCAUGACUAUAACGUCUUUAUGAGCACUAUGUGGCCUGUGUUAUGCAUGCUGCAGUAGUCGCAUGAGCUAAGAGCCUUGACUCAUGUCAGAAGAUCCAAUAUAAAGUUUAACCUUCAGAAGUCUCUCCUCCCGCUAAGGAUAUGGAAUGUUUUCAAAUGCACAUGUGAGUCAAACCUAUUCUCUACUCUGACUAUUCCAUAGUGGGCAUAGCAACAGAAGGCAAUAUAGAAGACACUAAAACAACCUCUGCAGCAAAUCCUUACCACCCUACAAAAUAUUUAAUGUGAAAAAUGUUUAUUAGUUAUUAUAAAAUAAAUCAACCAACUUUUCUUUGGGGCAAAAAGGUACUACUAGUAAAGAAACAAAAACAACAGCAAAAAGAAUUAAUUAAAAACUGCGGUAGAUGGUUUGCUUACCCCUGCUAUAUGUGCAGUAUAAACUUGUGCAUUUGUUCUGUGCCCACAGACAGGUUUCUCCUCCAAUUUUCUGGAGUGGAGUCAGGGUUGUGGUAAAGUACCAAUUGAAAAUGAGGUUGUAAAUAUCCCUUAAUGAUACACAGAAAAGAAUUUAAAUUACCAGAAGGAGACACUAGAGACGUUAAAAAGUGCUGUAAAAUUAGCCCUAAAUCAGGGAAUCUCCCUGAUAUAGCAUCUAUGUCCCAGGUGGAAAGCCCAUUUUCCAUACAUUUGAAGUCUCUCCUUGGUGUGGGGGUGGGGGUGUGUGUGUGUGCGCGCAUACAGGAUAGUCAUGGGUGCAUUAAAGAGGUGUGUUUCCAUGAAAACUUAGAUUUAUAUGAUUGGGGCUAAAUUACGCGUAGGAUAAGAAGUUAACACCCUAACCUGGAGGAUGAGUAGGGAAAGCAGUAACUUUUCUGAUGAUCUCAGAUAACAGGGAAGUGUGACACUUCAAAAUGUCUUGUCCUCACACUGGGAACACAGGACAGGACAAAAUCUAUCUAGGGGACUGGGGGACAGCAGUACUGAAACUACCUUGGCAGGUUGAAAUUUGUGUUGCAAGGGAGGGGAGAGCCUUCAUGCACAUUAAUGAUUUGGAGAGAGGUGACUUCUUACAUUUUUAGUUUGUACCUCUGUCCAUCUCCACCCCCACCUUAUACACACAUUCGGAAUGGGACAAGGGGACAGGGACUUGGGCGAGACUGACUCAGAGAAGGUGAUGUAGAUAGGGGUGGGACUUUCAGAUCAAUAGCCCCCUCUCCUCCCCUUUUCCACUGGCUGGAGUUAAUGCUUCUGCUGUUGCUGCUGUGUCAGUGUCAGUGUCUUCCUAGGCUCUGUGCAGUGCAAUUCCAAUUUCCCUAGAGCAGCAGCCUCUUCAGUCUACUGGACUCCAGCAGCCAGUUCAGGACUUUAUUUCCUUUUCGACAAGUGGCUGAUCCCUAGUGUUUCACGGGAUAGUGUAUUUGCUCUCACCACAGUAUCACUCUGAUAAAAAUUGGUGGUGACUUCACAGCUGCUGUUUUACUGCUUCAUAACCAAGGCACUUACAUUUUCUUACUGCACCGGUGAAAUGAAACUGAAGCCAUCCUGGGCUGCUGCGUUCCAAGUGUUAACUAGCUGGUGCCUGGGACUUGGAAAUCAAGAGGAGAAGCUGGUGUUACCUUCUGGCCCUAAAACAAUCAAUCUCAUCACUGGAUAUAAUCACAAUACUGAGCAUGCAGUGCCUUUCUGCAAGGCUCGCAAAGUGCUUUAAAAACAUUAAUUCUUCUCACAAUCCUGUAAAGUAGCUUCAUAUUAUCAUACCCAUAUUAUAUAGAGAUAGUAAAAAAAGAGGCUCAGCUAGGCUGUGACUUACCCAAGGUCACAUAGCAAGUCUGUAAUAGUGCUGGAAAUAGAAAAUAGAUCUGCUUUCUCCUGACUAUUGUUUGAGAACUACGAUGAAGGGCUCUUCCAAGACACUGCUCAUAUGGACAUGUGUAAUUACUGGGUCAUCCAAAUCAUGAUAGUGUAAGUUUACUCUGCAGAGACAUCAUGAACAGCUCAAUCUUAACUCCAACCUGCAGAUCUGCCUGUAUUGUGGAGUAGGCUAGCAGAAUUUGAGAGAGUGACCUCUUCUGGCAGUCAGCAGAGGAAUGAUAAGGUUCUCUUGACUGAAUGCUAAUCGUUCCCCAAGUGGCUGGACAGUUAACAGUUUGUAUAUCCCUGAAACAACAAUAGCAAUUUAAUACACUUCAUUGUGUAUUGGUAUUUUCCUAUACUUAGUGUUAAGUUUCUGAGACCUGUGACUGUUGGGUUCAAAUAAAGGAGAUGGCUCUAAACCUUGGGGGAGAGACGACCUAUCCUGUCAAUAAAAUGGGAAGGCUCUCAUUGACUUCAAUGAGAUUUGGAUUAGGUCGAUAAGCCAUAAUUAACUUGGUCUCUGCAAAUCAUUUUAUUCCACCUGUAUUCAAACACUGGGAAUAUGUGGAUGCUGAGGAGAAUAAUUGUUGAAUUAAAAUACAAGUUGCAUCACAGUGGAACAGAUUUCCUUUUAAAGUAUGCUUCAUUUGGAUUUGAAUAAUAAUUAAAAAGACACAGAAACAAAGAGAUUAUGUACUGAAACAAAUCAACAGUGUUCUUCCUAUUCACAAGGUACAUCCUGACUCCAGCUCUUUCAUCUCCCAGCUUUCAUCUCAGCUGCUUUCUUAGGUACCAGUGUGAAGCAUGGACUCUGUGUGUAGAAGAAGGUGGUACCUUCAGUUGGGCUGUAUAUUGAUAGUGAAUUUGAUUUAUGCCAAUCCAGAAUAUCAGAAAGAACCUCCUGGAAGCCUAGGUGAGAUUGACCAUCACUGCUGGGAGAUCUCCUCUCAUAGGCUGGUGGAAAUGAAGAAACUCAAGGUAGCAGAUGCUAUCAUUGCUCUCUGGGAUUUCAUGAUGUUCCUAAAAGAAUCACCAAAGGCCAAGCAUAAUGAACUUUUCAAUGACUUAGCCCAGAAUUUCUGGGAUAUGUAUGUAGACUGUGUGCUUUCAAGGUCCCAUGGAAUGGGCAGAAGACAAUUACUAUCUCCCAACUAUUUUUCCACAUACCCAUAGAGAACUUCACAAGGGUCAGACUUCUCAAAACAUCAGUUUUAGGCCAAAAUGGGAGAAAAAUGAAGAUACCUCAGCAAGAUGACAUCGAACUGAAGGAAAAGAGCCUGCUUGUCAAAAGCACAGCCUGUACUGUAGCUGCUUAUGAGCAAUGUUCCUUUGAUGGGUUUUGAGAUUUUGUUUUAUGCUGGACGAGCACAUGAUAAUUGAUAAAUACUUCAGAUGUGUGUUACCAACAUGUUCCCCUUUCUUUAAAUGUACCAAGGUUGCCUUUCCCCACCACUGCACAUGUGAAUGCUUUAUGUAUUUUGAGUCAAUAUCUGUGUUCUCUCAGGUAAACCUAUCUGUUUAAACUAGUAUUAUAUUUUUGUAGACAUUCAUCUUUCAAAUAAUUCUUUUUUAAAAUGUUAACUGCAAUGGAAACCCAAUAUAUUUUUAUACAUUAAACAACAGAGUUCAAUGGCAACAAGCAAAUUUUAUACAGUAUCUUGCAUAUGAAAUGGAUUUCAGUUUUAAGAUCUACAAAAAAGUACCAAUAUCAACCCAAAGGGAGAGAUUAUGCUUGAUGUAGUGUCUUACGCAGCCUCUAAGUUUGUAUUUGAUCACUGCUUAG